rnacentral:rRNA from 1 species
UAAAGGAGCGAUCCGGUGACGGAUGGGCAUGCGUGACAUUAGCUAGUCGGCGGGGUAACGGCCCACCGAGGCGACGAUGUCUAGGGGUUCUGAGAGGAAGGUCCCCCACACUGGUACUGAGACACGGACCAGACUCCUACGGGAGGCAGCAGUGAGGAAUAUUGGUCAAUGGGCUUACGCCUGAACCAGCCAAGUCGCGUGAGGGAAGACUGCCCUAUGGGUUGUAAACCUCUUUUGUCAGGGAGCAACGCCGGCUACGUGUAGCCGGACUGAGAGUACCUGAAGAAAAAGCAUCGGCUAACUCCGUGCCAGCAGCCGCGGUAAUACGGAGGAUGCGAGCGUUAUCCGGAUUUAUUGGGUUUAAAGGGUGCGUAGGCGGAAUGCCAAGUCAGCGGUAAAAUCGCGGGGCUCAACCUCGCUCCGCCGUUGAAACUGGCGUUCUUGAGUGGGCGAGAAGUAUGCGGAAUGCGUGGUGUAGCGGUGAAAUGCAUAGAUAUCACGCAGAACUCCGAUUGCGAAGGCAGCAUACCGGCGCCCAACUGACGCUGAAGCACGAAAGCGUGGGUAUCGAACAGGAUUAGAUACCCUGGUAGUCCACGCAGUAAACGAUGAAUACUACCUGUU